AAUCAACGCUGGCGGCGUGCCUAACACAUGCAAGUCGAACGCGAAAGCCCCGCAAGGGGUAAGUAGAGUGGCAAACGGGUGAGUAACACGUGGGUGACCUGCCUUCGAGUGGGGGAUAACGUCCCGAAAGGGACGCUAAUACCGCAUGACAUCCCGUCUUUGAAGAGGCGGAGAUCAAAGCUGGGGAUCGCAAGACCUAGCGCGAUGAGAUGGACCCGCGUCGCAUUAGCUAGUUGGUGAGGUAACGGCUCACCAAGGCAACGAUGCGUAGUCGACCUGAGAGGGUGAUCGGCCACAUUGGGACUGAGACACGGCCCAGGCUCCUACGGGAGGCAGCAGUGGGGAAUAUUGCACAAUGGGGGAAACCCUGAUGCAGCAACGCCGCGUGAGUGAUGACGGUCUUCGGAUUGUAAAGCUCUGUCUUCAGGGACGAUAAUGACGGUACCUGAGGAGGAAGCCACGGCUAACUACGUGCCAGCAGCCGCCGUAACAC
rnacentral:rRNA from 1 species